AUUGACGUCAUGGUGUUGUGAUUUAGGCUGUGUUACUGGCAAGAGAAGAAUGGCGGCGUCAGCAGUGAAAACCACAUUCACCUGAUCCAAGGUCAAACCUUCACAGACUGGAUUUUCUGACAUCUCUGCGUUAACUGCAAUUUACCUAACCAGAUGACAUAGUACCAGGAAGAAGGUUCUAUACAGUAACAAAUAGCACAAAUCAUCUAUGUAGGGUAACGCUAUAUUAGUUGUAGUGUGAUAGUAGCAAACAGGAAAUAAUCUAAUAAUCUAUGUAGAUUGCUAUAGUGUACAUUCAUUAUUAACAGAUAAUUACUCAUGUUUAUACUUCUCUUACCUCCAAACACCAGGGCUAUAUGGUUGCUCACUACCUCUGUAGACACUUAUUAAUGAUGAGAUCUUUAUGAUUUACGGGUAAAAAUACCGCUCUCAUUUAGGGCAUACUAUUAUUAAUUAAUAAUAUAAAUAUAUAACUCCAUUUGGUACUGUCCACUACAGUCAGCUUAUUCUGUAGCAGUUCAUUAUUUCUCCCUGAAACUGGCUGGGCUUAGUGCAGUCAUGUGUACAUUAGUGAUGUCAUUUGAGGACCCACUCAGUGUCACAACAAGCAGCAGGAAGACCUUAGUUGGGACAGACUGCAGCGAAACGUCCAGCAUUCUAGAUGAAGCUCGUGAGAACAAGGAUGAGAACAUGCCCAAAGACCCAGAAUCAGAAAGGAGAACAUCUGUGCAGCUGUACCACCUUGAGGAUUCACAACCAACGGUGGAGACUAACACAGAGGAGCAAAACACGCAUCGCAUCAAUGCCAACAACUGGUGCAUAGCGGUUGUAACUAUCGUUGUCUGCCUGAUGUUUUUCCUCUACUACUGUUUUUAAAAGCUGAUACUACAACACACAGCAGUUAUCACGUGGGACUGGACAUUCAUUUAUCGAAAUGAAAAACGGUCUUUCUAAAAAUUCUUCCAACGUUCACGGUUUUGAUACAAAGUCAGCAUUGGGAACUUCCUCAGUCGAAAAUGCUAACAAAUGGUGAAAGAAACAAGGAUCAGUGUAUUCAAAACAGCAAGAUUUAUAUUUUCAGGAAGAUUUGCAAAAAUGACUACAGUGUAUGAAAAUGCAGAAACAGAGCAAUGGAAGCUGAUGAAUCAUCAUAUAGUAUUUCGCAUUGUUCUACCCACAUGUAAUUUAUAAUAAAUUACAGGCACCUUAAAUUUAAAUACUUAUGUAAAAAAAAAAAAAAAUCAUCUGAACCUAAAAGGAUACUCAGUGAGCAAUAUUUUUAUGUAAUGAGACUCACAUCAGUCUUCUAGUUCCUAACCCUACACCCAAUAAUAUGAAACCACAAUAUUUAGACUCCAGUGUACUAGUGGUUCCAGUAACCUAGCACAAUACUUUGCAAUACUCUUAUAAUUAAUUGUACUCAUCAUUUAACUGGAUUAUGAUAGAUAAUCCACAAUGUUUGUUUCUAUUAUCUGGAUUCUUGUCAUAUAAUCCUUGUCCGCAUGCUCUGCCAGAUUAUAAAUGAAGGAGGAUUUAUCAUGGGGAUGUUUCAAUACAAGUACAUACAUUAUGGGGUGCUUCAGCUACUCCACUGUGGUAAUAAACUACCGUUUAGGUGGUAUAAAAAAAAAUCAUGCUAUUUAUAUAAAAUGGAUUAAUGUUCUGCACAGUUCAAAAUCUUACAAGCUGAAGAACAAGAAACAUAGCUUAUAGAUAACAAUAUAUACCUUUUGUUUUUGUAGAGAGACUGCAUUUUAACAGGCAUUUUAUUUGCCAAUUUGGCUGAUUUAGUCCAAAUAGGUUGAAAUCAUCAAACUUGUGGGAGCUUCAUCAACCACCAAAGAUGGCUGAGAAUGAUUGUAAUCCAACAGUUUUUUUUAAAUGUUUCAAAAAUACAGAUUGGCUCAUGAGAGCCACUGCCAUGUGUGUGCAGCUAUUGGCUGACCACACAGAGUGUGAUGACAUCCAAUCAUUCAGCCUUAUGAACGGACAAGGCACUUAGCGAAGAACACCUUUGACUUAGUCAACGCCUCUCUUCGAACCACUUGGAAAUAUUGCCCUCUUGACACAAAGAUUUUUGUGCUUCUUGGCAAAAAAUAGGCAUACUUGCAUGACAGUAAGUACAUAAGGCUCCAAAAAAAAUCUUUUGGACUUGGUUUUGCACUUUUGAAAGUUGUAUAUGCUUUUUACUGUCUCCCAUAUAAAUGUCUUUAUCCUAAGUCAUUUAUCAAACAAGCACUUAUUGCAGCGAUAUCAUUUUGUUUACAACCACUUUAAUCAGUUUAUUAUUUUUUCAUUUGUACCUUUCCGUUAUUGCCUUCCUGAAAUGAUGUUAAAAUAACAGGUAUCACGGCUGUACAAGCACCAAUCCAAUAAAAGCCUUCUAAUGAAAAUCAAUAGAAAAUCCCUUCACAUGCAAAAGUCAGUGAUAUUUAAUCCUCAAUGACAAUAUGAUACAACGGUUCACAAUACAAAUAAUAAAAAACUAAAUAGUGUUCCUUUAAUAUUCAUCACCUCCUACCUCAUUACAGUUUCAUAUUAUCUUGGGGUUAAAACGUAAAAACAUUUUAUUGGUUCAUUUCGUAGUUCCAUGGAAUAACUGGGAGUUCAUAGUAUAAAGCAGGAGCUUCAAAUAUAUAAUUGUACUUUGUAACAAUGAAAACAUUGGAUAAGAAGCUGUAUUCCCUUUAGACUCAGUGAUAUAUUACAGUUAGUGUUACUACAAUGCCAUGUGUUAAGAGUAUAACUAUUAUGUAGAAACAGGUUUUAUAAAUGUUUACUGUUUUGUACCUCGCACUUGUGUUCUACAGCAGAUUAUAUCUGUGCCUACAACGCCACUUACCUUGUACCAAUCAACCACCAACACCUCUUAGUGUCAUUAUGAUGGAGUGAUCAGUGGAGAACAAAUCUCCCUUUUGUUUUUUUCUUUAUUGAUAUCAUGUGUCUGCCUUUGCACCACUACACUGAGCUUAACACGAUCACAUUGGCAUUGACAAGUCAAAUAUUGCUAACAUCAAUGUCAAAGCUCAAAAAUUAGAUUUCGUCUGUGCUUCUGAGAUAUUGAAAUGGGCAAAAGUGCGGGUAUGGGGUACAUUUACUAAAACGUCUGAAAAGAGAGCUUGCAGUUCUAAAUACAGCAGCCAAUCAGAUUCUAUUAUUUAUAUAGUACAUUCUGCAAAUGAUAGUUAGAAUCUGAUUGAUUGCUAUUUGCAACAACUCCACUUUUCCUUUUUUAGAAGUCGUAGUAAAUCUACUCCUUGUUUUACAAUCUGCUCAUGGGUGAUUACCACUAGUUUCACAGUAAGUAUGGAACAAAUAAAUCAAUGCAUUUAAUAUGACAGACUUCAUAUAUACUGUAUGACACUUGAACUAAAGGGAGUUUUUUUUUAUCACAUUGACUAUUACCAUAAUGAGAGUGGUUUUAAAUAAUUCUGGAAAAAUAUAUAAUGAAAGCAGAAAUCUAAAUUGAAAAUGAAUGCUUUGAUCUGUGCAUGGGAACCGCUAAUAACUUCCAUACUUUAAUUUGUGCAGGACGGCUAUUCUCACUAAUGUCAUAUCAGACACAGCCCGGGAGAGAUGAAACUCCCAGUCUCCCCUUAUGGACAUUUGUCCUCUCUCAGUCCUAAAUGUAUAUAAAACACAAGACCAAAUAAUGGUAACUCUACAGGUAUCCGCAUGAUAGGUCAACAGUAAUAAGAUUGAUAGUCAAUAGGUUGACUCCAUAUGGUUGAUAUCCAUUAGGUCGACAUGUACAAAAGGUCGACAUGGCCAAUAGGUCGACAGUGCUUAUGGUUGGCAGGUGCAAAAGGUCGACAUUUCCAAUGGUCGACACACAUAUGGUUGACACUGAUUUUUUUUUACAACUUUUUCAUACUUUACAAUCCACGAUUAGGAAUAGUAACCUUGGUCGAAGCAUGGCGAGCGAGCCAAGCAGUAGACUAAUUGGGGUCACAUGUGGUUAAACAUACAAAAUGGCACCCAAAAAUGCAAAAAAGAAACCCCCAAAAUACAUGCAUCGACCAUUUCCACGUCGAACCAUUUCGGGCGUCAACAUUUUGACACUGUAUACCAUGUGAAUGUUGACAAUAUGGGGGUUACCUAGUGACUGUUGACCUAAUAUUGGUUGAACUAAUGCUCCACACAUAAUUCCACAUAUAGAGAGCCGUCUAGAAUUAAAAUCCACACCCUGCGCACUUACAACUGAGGUGGGCAAUUGGGGAUUGUUAUAUUGGAUUCGGUAUGAAAUCCCAACUGUUGGGAUCCCGGCAGUCAAAAUACAGACGCCGGAAUCCUGACAGUCGGAAUCCCAGCCUUGAGUGCAGCGUGUCCCCUCCUGGGCUCGCUGCACUCGCCAUGCUUCGGGGUCGGUGGCGACCAUUGGUUGCCACACUAAUCUAUUCCCCCUCAGGUGGUGGCGUGGACCACCACCCAAGUGGGAAUUCCGGCGGCGGGAUUUUGACCACCAGGAUCCUGACAGUUGGGAAAUUAACUGCAUCCCAUUAUAUGAAUGGGCAAAUAACUUGGGGUGGAUCUUUCAGACAUUCAGAUACAGCUGUAGAGGAACAAGCUUUCCUAUAGCACUUUAUUGUGGAGAGUAUAGUAACAUGGGGCCAACUAUUUGUUAGUUCACCACAGACGUUUCCAGAUGGAGCUAUUUGCACCUACAUAUGAUGCCUUGUGUUUACAUCUGAGAGGAUGAAUGAUAGGUAGAAGGUAAUGUGGUAAUAUUGUGAUGUCUAGCUAGGAAUGGGAGGUUUUGUAUAACUUUUCAAUGACACCAUUCCCAUGUAUAGGAAUUGCUACAUAUUCUCCAAUAUAUCAUUGUAUGCUGUGGUUUUUCUAUAGUAAAUAUAAUAUUUUAUGGCAUGUAUUAGUAAGUGAGUAUUCCUGUGAAAUGUUAGGAUUCUCUUAUACAGUAAUAUGAUAUCCAAUCAGUAUAAUGUUCACUCAUAUCUAUUAUAUAAGUAGUAAAUGUGUUAGUGCAACUCUUUACUGUAGAUGGCUCCUAGGUAGGUGUGAGGAAACUGGUGUUGGGAGAGAAGUUUUAAAACCGACCAGUAUUUCAGAAAGGAUUGCUCUGAAGACAGAACUAUUAAAGAUAUAAUCAUUUGUAUUAAUUGGCACUAUUAAAACCAUAUCAAGCUUUAAAAAAAGAUAUACUUAAGAUUUCUACAAUAUCCCUCCCUCCCACAAUCCACAUUCUUCUGUCUUAUAGCAGAACCAUUAUCAAUCAAAAUACUUUCAGAGUGAGCCAUGGAAAUAUACAAGCUGCUGUCAGCACAAACAAGUUUUCUGAGCAACCUAAGAGACAAAAGAUCCCAUUGUCAAUUAAAUAUAUAUAUAUAUAUAUAUAUAUAUAUAUAUAUACAGACCUGCAUUAAACCUGCAAUAAAAAAAACAACACUAUUUACACCAAUGUAGGACAUAAGGUAUUGUAAAUGCUGUUGAGAGAUUAGAGGGGAUAUGUAUCAAAGCUUGGAGAGGGAUAAAGUACCAGCCAAUCAGCUCCUAACUGCCAUUUUAAGUACACUGGGGUCUAUUUACUAAGCCAUGGAUGGAGAUUAUAGGGUCUGUUUACUAAGCCUUGGAUGGAGAUAAAGUCAACAGAGAUAAAGUACCAGCCAACCCGCUCCUAACUGCCAUGUCACAGGCUGGGUUUGAAAAAUGACAGGAGCUGGUUGGCUGGUAUUUAUCUUGGUCCACUCUAUCUCCAUCCUAGGCUUAGUAAAUAGAUCCCAAAGUACCAGCCAACCAGCUCCUAACUGUCAUUUUUCAAACACAGCCUGCGACAUGGCAGCUAGCAGGUGAUUGAUUGAGACUUUAUCUCCAUCUAAGGCUGACAGGGGAUGCAGUCAGUUUACCUCCAAUCAAAAUACCGACAUUCAAAAUCCCGACACCAAUUGACCGAUGGUCAAAAUCCCGACAAGGUCAAAAUCCUGACAUGGACAAAAUACCGACAUUUAAAAUACCGACAAGGUCAAAAUACCGACAUGUAAAAUGCCGACAGGUCAAAAUACAGACAUGAGUUUUUCAAGAUUUUUUUCAUUAAAACCGACUUGUUCAUACUUUACCAUCCCAGUGGACCUGGAGGGGGAAUAUAAUAGUGUGCCCGAAGCAUGGCGAGCGCAGCGAGCCUUGCGAGGGGACGCGCUACACUUUAUAUGGUGUCCAUGUUGACUUAUGUCGACAUACACACACAAAAAAAACAAAAACCGCAUGUCGGUAUUUUGACCUGUCGGCAUUUUACAUGUCAGUAUUUUGACCUUGUCGGUAUUUUAAAUGUCGGUAUUUUGUCCAUGUCGGGAUUUUGACUGUGUCGGGAUUUUAACCAUCGGUCAAUUGGUGUCGGGAUUUUGAACGUCGGGAUUUUGAUUGGAGGUAUUUCAUAACGAUCCCGCUGACAGGAGCUGAUUGGUUGGUUCCUCUCUUCAAGAUUUGAUAAAUCUCCCCCAAAAUCAGACGCUCAAAAUAUUUAACAUACUUUUUUAAACAUUUAUCAUAGAUCACCUUACAUUUCCAAAGAUAGUAAGGUAAUGUGAUCCAAUUGUUUUAGCAAUUUUUUAACCUUUGAAUAAAAGGGCCCAAAUGUGCAGAUACUGCAGCAGAAAUAUGCACGUCCCAGCUAUCUGUAGCUCAAUGUUCAAAAAUGUGUCUGUCUUGGAACAAUGGCAAAGAUAAUGGUUUCUUAGAACAGUUUUAAACUCCUCUCUGUUCAAAGCCGGAUUCCUCAUAGCCUUUGUAAGUUGUAAUAUUGUUACACUCUAUCGUGUCCACAUCGUUAAGUAGAGUGGGUAACAUUAUAGUGAUUAUAGCAGCCAAUAAAAGGCUGCAAUGGAGUAUAUUGUGUUCAGUGUACGCUGACUGUUAAUCUCUAUACUACAUGUAAUAUUAGUAAGGUCGAUAACAGCAGUCUGUCAGAAAAAAAAGAAAGAAUAAGAAUGUAUGAAACUGAAUAUUUAUUUAUUAUUCGUUCAACUAGAUCCGUAAAGUGCUUUCAUGUAAAAUUAACCCUUUCCUGGACCUGGUGCAGUGAAUGGCUUAAUGGAUACAAUCUUUUUUAUAUAUAUUUGGGAAAAAGUAUUUCAUAGUAUUCUUAUCAUAGUGAGGAAGAGAUCCCACUUCUUUCCUCUACUUGAGGGCUUUGUGCACUUUUUACACGGCAUUGCUGAAAACACAAAGGUUCACUGACAAUGCACUAUUUAUUACGCAGAUAGUUUUAUAGCUAGAUAAGGGCUUAAUGUAUUUUGUGAUCUAAUUAUUUUUACAGUAUUUUAUAGACAGAAUAGGGAUUGCACUGGAUUCGUUAUUGGACACUUGUAUUGAUGUAGCAGGUGACGGUCAUUACUUUAAAUAAAAUGUGUUAAUAUGGAAAUGUAUGCAGAAACAAUUUUACUCUAAGGCUACGCACCAACUGGUGUUUGAUUUUGCCAUAACAAAUGCAAGUUCAAAUGCCAGUGAUACAGAGUGGGAGACGUACCGCCAUAGCACUUCCUGCUAUGAACCCACCGCUCAUCAGCUUAGUGCUGAUGCGCUUUUUUCCCCCGCCCCCGGCCGGCUUCACUGGGCAUACAAGAGAUCUCCAAUGCAGCCCGGAGCUGCCAGCCGCCACAGCACUGUCCUGGCUGUGGUGAAUGGGCAACGACGCCUGCAACUGUCGAAAUCAGUAGCUGCAGGUGUCGGAAUGGUCAGUGCCACUGACCAUUCAUACAAUGCCCUAUCUUGUAGAUUGCAGUGCCGAUAUAGACAGGGGCGCCCUGUCAUGUACCGCACACUGGCACAUUCACACAUGGGGAAGAAGCGGUAUCAACGCAUAUAAUGUGCGCUGAUACUACUUCUCCCCCAUAAAGACUCAUCAUACAUCUCCCCCCAAAUGUCAAAUGGAAGUAUCUGAUGUAGUUGUUUGGAAGGUCAUUGAUGGUAACUCAGUCAGUUUGACUUCAGUUAAACCCAGUGGUUCUCAAACUCUGUCCUCAGGACCUCAACCAGUUAAUUUUUUCCUGGUCACCUGGCUGGAGCAUAGUUGUGUCCUUUACUCACUGACACAUUUUAAAAGAUCCACAGGUGGAACUAAUUAUUUCACUUGUGAUUCUGUGAGGAGACCUGGAAAACAUGAACUAUUUGGGGUCCUGAGAACUGAAUUUGAGACUCUAUGGUUAAACCCAUUGACUGGAGUAGGUAGUGUUCACAUAACUAUGGGCCUGAUUCAGAGCUGAUCGUAGAUGUGCGAAAAAAACACACAUCUACUAUCAGAAUCAGAGGCAUGCUGGGGGACCGCCCAGCACAGGGCUAGUCCGCACUGCAUGCCAAGCCCCAUCCCCAGCAGAGGUGCGAAAGCAUCGCACUGUGGCAAUGCGUUCGCACCUGGUGAGUUGCUCCCUGCCUACGCAGCCUAGCUGCAAAGGCAGGCGGCUACCUGCCAUGUUUUGGGUCGCAAGACUGCGUGUCACGCCACGCAGAUGCCAUGGCCCACCUCAGCAAUGGACCGGACGCACCUUCAUUUAAACGCAGCUUGCACGCCCCCUCCCAGCACACCACCGCCUCUACUUGUCAGUCAGGCAGAGGCAAUCGCACCAGUGAGAUGCUUUUGCAUCUCACUAUGUGCGCACACGCAGUGUGGCCGCUGUGUGUGCGCACUACACAAUGGGCUUAAGGGAGCGAUCGCUGCCGUUGCAGCGAUCAGCUCUGAAAUAGGCCCUAUGGCCCUCAUUCCGAGUUGUUCGCUCGCUAGCCGCUUUUCGCAGCAGUGCACAUGCUAAGCCGCCGCCCUCUGGGAGUGAAUCUUAGCUUAGCAGAAUUGCGAACGAAAGAUUCGCAAAAUUGCGAAUAGAAAUUUCUUAGCAGUUUCUGAGUAGCUCGAGACUUACUCUGCCACUGCGAUCAGUUCAGUCAGUUUCGUUCCUGGUUUGACGUCACAAACACACCCAGCGUUCGCCCAGACACUCCCCCGUUUCUCCAGCCACUCCCGCGUUUUUCCCAGAAACGGCAGCGUUUUUUCACACACACCCAUAAAACGGCCAGUUUCCGCCCAGAAACACCCACUUCCUGUCAAUCACACUCCGAUCACCAGAACGAAGAAAAAACCUCGUAAUGCCGUGAGUAAAAUACCAAACUUCCUAGCAAAUUUACUUGGCGCAGCCGCAGUGCGAACAUUGCGCAUGCGCAGUUAGCGGAAAAUCGCACCGAUGCGAAGGAAUAUAACGAGCGAACAACUCGGAAUGAGGGCCUAUGUUCUGAACGUGAGAUAAUGUAAGGCUGCUGGAAACAGUGUUUUCCUUUCCUGCAUUGUGUAGUUUUAUAAAACUUGUAUGCAAAACGAAAUUGAAGCCAGAAAUGUUUACAUACAAGAUAUCUACAAGUGGUAAAAGGCGGAGUUAGAAAAAACAGCAACAGAUUUCUAGGCUUCCAAAAACAGAGCUUUUAUUCUGUCCCAGGUAGCCACCUAUAUACAGGUGAAACAUUUUUAUAAUUAAUCCGAUUUGUCUUCCUGGAGAAGAUUUCAAUUGUUGGUCAGAACCUUGUUUAUCACAGAAUAUUAAUAUGCUGUUCACUUGGUGAAUCGUAUUGUAUAUUAUAUGCGCAAAAUGAGACAGGAGAGAAGGGAUCAAUAUAUAUCAAUGUCUAUAUAUUAGUAUGCUGUUGGUGAAUCUCUCUUGUAACCUGUGGUGCUUUUUCUAGAAAUAAAUGUGUCACUUUAGAAACAUUAA